CCUACGGGAGGCAGCAGUGAGGAAUAUUGGUCAAUGGCCGUAAGUCUGAACCAGCCAAGUAGCGUGAGGGAAGACUGCCCUAUGGGUUGUAAACCUCUUUUAUGCGGGGAUAAAGUUUUCCACGUGUGGAUGUUUGCAUGUACCGCAUGAAUAAGGACCGGCUAAUUCCGUGCCAGCAGCCGCGGUAAUACGGAAGGUCCGGGCGUUAUCCGGAUUUAUUGGGUUUAAAGGGAGCGUAGGCCGGUCUUUAAGCUUGCCGUGAAAUUUUGUGGCUCAACCAUGAGAGUGCGGCGCGAACUGGAGACCUUGAGUGCGCGGAAGGCAGGCGGAAUUCGUGGUGUAGCGGUGAAAUGCUUAGAUAUCACGAAGAACCCCGAUUGCGAAGGCAGCCUGCCGCAGUGUGACUGACGCUGAAGCUCGAAAGCGCGGGUAUCGAACAGGAUUAGAUACCCCUGUAGUC
rnacentral:rRNA from 1 species